CUUCUUUUUGCUGUACCUUUCUGAAAAGGAAUAUGUUUUACUCAAUGUAAUUGCUUAUGUGACAGCUAAUCAUCAAGGCAUGAAUUGAUUUAUUGGGCUUCAUAUGAACUUCUUCCUCUGUGAUAACAUAUCUAGCCUUACUCUCUAGGGUCACAAGAUACUGAAUAAACCGUAGCAACCUCCUUCACUAUUGUGGAGAUGGGGAGGAGUGUACAGCAGUGGCAGCAAUAACAACCCAUGGAAGUAUCAUCAACACACUACUGAAAAGAAAUGGACACAAUCGGGUACUCGUUCAAAAAUGACUUUUUUAAUCCAUAUUAGUACGCAUUUUCUGGCAAUUUAGAUUAGAAUAACUUCAUUUUUCUCAUGGGGGAACGUCUUAAAUCAAACCAUUCAAACAACACAGACACCAAAAGACAGAGCUGAACAUUUGGAGAAGCCAUGGAGAAGACAACAAUGUAGUGAGCAACAUCUGCCCUCAGCUCCUCUGAGAAGCGGAGCAUUAGCUGGAAUGGUCUAGCUGCUGGUGGCUCAUCUGGAGAUGGUGGUGAGCUGGGAUUGGUGCGCUGGCUUUAGGGAAAUCAGCCACUGUUCUCUCUCUGCGUCCCAAGCUUUGGCCAUUAACUCACUGCCAGCAGCUCAGCUCUGGGAUGAGGAACAACAGAUGCCAGCCACUGAAAAGCCUCCAGCGCUCCAGCUAACCAAUCCCAACUGAGUCGGGACGAGCCUCUGUAGAUUUUUGGACAUCCAGCGAACAAAUGUGGACAUGAAAGGGGGAAGAGGAGGGCUGUUCUGGAGGUAAAGAUGUGUUAACCCUCUUGAACUUGACAGGAGACGAGGCUGGAGCUCAGAUUAGCCCCUCAAAGCCCAGCUUUCACAAAAGUGGUCCAGAGUGGCAAGGAGACACCAUAUUAGGGAUUAGCCAAUCCCUGCUAUCCUCAACUGCCACAUCUUCCUGCUAGGCUACCCAUACACGCACAAGGAGAAGAGGAGAAGUAAGGGAGUUGGGUCAAAUGGUAGCGGGGUGAACAAGCCGUGGCUUGGGUGACUGAGGUCCUUGAGGAUCAUCUUGGCCUUCCUGUGACACCGGGUGCUGAAGAUGUCCUGGAGGGCAGGCAGUGUGCCCCUGGUGAUGCGUUGGGCUGACCGCACCGCCCUCUGGAGAACCCUGCGGUUGCGGGCGGUGCAAUUGCCGUACCAGGCUGUGAUGCAGCCAACAGGAUGCUCUCAUCUGUAGAAGUUUGUGAGGGUCUUUCUUCAGUCUCCUGUUGCACCUUCUUCAGCACACUGUCUGUGUGGACCAUUUCAGGUCUAAUGUAUGCCUAACAGGAGCAGGUAAAUAACAUAUUUUCAGCCAUGCUGUUCCUCUCAAUGUGGGCCAAUGGCUGAUCACUUCAGCAGACAAUUUAAGGUCGACUUAAUGUAGCCUACACGGCCUCUCGGGGAAUUUCAUGCUCUUAUGGAAAGCCGUUUGAAAUCCCUGAGCAGCCUAGUCUUAAUCUCAUUUGUGAAUGUGAGAGAAGCUCCGACAGGACCAGGGACUAGCAGGAACAUCCUCCUCCUAAAGCACCGUUUCAUUUGUCAGGAGACUUUGCCGGUUGACACUGGAGGAGUGACGUAAUUGAUUUUAAUCACAAACCUGAGGUGAGGAGACUGAGGGGGCUGGCCCUUAAUGAUUAUUCAAUGACCCGUCAAAGAUCAUGUCUCUCUUUUUAGGGUCUCUGUUGUCAUGUAUUGCUGUCUGAAGGAUGAUAUUUGCAUCGUUCAUUUUGAAACAUGUUCCAUUGUUAUUUCAUUACUGGAAUCAAACUGUUUCACACAAGAAAAACAAGUAUUAUGAAUUAUCCUCCUAAUACUGAUAAGCAAAAUAUAGAUUUUCCCUUUUCAAUUGGUGCUUCAGGGCUCUUGACAAAGAGGACUUUUCUCCAGUUGACUGUCUACUCAAUGGUAAGCUGACACACACUGUGAAAAUGUUCCAAAGGCGAUGCUCGACUUUGUACUGCUUAAAGACAUACUUUUCCCUCUUGACUCUUCAGGAAGUCUGAGUAUUCUCCCUCCCCUCAGAGUACCAUGGUAAUUUGUUAUGAAAAUCUAGACCAAAAGCAAGGGGAAAUGCAGGACCACGUUGUUGCAAGCCAUUAGCUAGGAAACUGUUUGGUGAACAUUAUAAUGCAAAACUCCAGAAAGAGAGGGAAAAACUGCCUGGGGAGAGAGAUUUAAAUAUGUAAUAAACUAAUAUUUCAUUUAUUUGGCUCACAUGGGAACCUGACCAUUUAGCAUCAGCAUUUGCAGAUCAGAACUACACUGUAUUGAGUAAUAUUAGAAAAUAUUGCAAUACAAUUGAGCAAAUAUUCAAUUUAUUAUGGGCAACUAAAAAUGUUAAAAAAAUCUAAUCUGAAUGUGAGAUUUGGAACAAUGAUACCUAUAUACUGUAAUUAAGUAUGUACAUCAUUGCAAAGACAUUGUGAAGUAGAAUAUAUAUUGUUUUUUAUUACUCUGUUUUAGAGAGUGUGUAGUUGUCCUUAAACCUUCAUUCAAGACAGUUGUCUAUCCUUCAGUUUGAAUUGUUAAAAUAACUUGUGAAAGUAUGUAUUUCAUUUGUUGAUUACCCCCAUUGUUAUUGUUUUACGUAGAAUACAAUGGCAUUAAUUAUUGAUGAGGCUGCUGUCACUUUUAAUUUCUGUUAGUCCUGGGAAAAUGAAAGACAGCCUUGUAAUAACUUGUAAUAAAUAUUACAUGCACUGCAUCCAUUUUUUACCAGGAAAAAAAAGGAAACGUCCCUUUACUAAUUCCUUUUCAUAUGUUUACAUGUAUAGCUUUCUCAAUGGGCAUAUCUCUUUCAAACUUUGGGCCACAACAGAAAUAUAUUUCCAUCUCAUUAAUGAGCAAAUUAGGGAAAGGUCUUUCAAGAAAAAAAUAUGAAUUGCACAACCAUAAUCUCCAUACUAAAGGACCAGUCUUUGAUGAAUUGCUCGGGAUGUGUGGGUGUGUGUGUGUGUGUGUGUGUGUGUGUGUGUGUGUGUGUGUGUGUGUGUGUGUGUGUGUGUGUGUGUGUGUGUGUGUGUGUGUGUGUGUGUGUGUGUGUGUGUGUGUGUGUGUGUGUGUGUGUGUGUGCAUGUUUCGUGCGUUUGAAACUGGUUCACUUCGCCCAUUCCCUAUACAGUAUACGAUAAUUACUGAUGACUCUCAGGACUGAAGUCCGAAAUCAUUCCACCCAUAUGAUCAAAUGUCAGGUUCACAUGAUAGACAUAGCGCUUGCAUUGCUUAACCACAUAAUACCAUUAUAGUAGUUUGACUCAUGUUAAAGGUUAAGCAAUCUAAUUCCUUUUGAGAUCUUUUAGAUUGACUACAGGUUUUAGAUUGACUGCGGGUCUCAUACUUUAUGUUGUUAGCGUUAUGUUCAUUGUAUACUGGAUUACAGAGGAAUCAUAUCAAAAGGUAUUGAAAGACAGUUGAGUAACACCUUGACAACUCUUUUACCAACAAUUUAUGUGAUGUAUCAGGAGAUGAUCCUUGGUACAUCAGAUUUAAUUGUUAAAUUGGUCCUUAUAUACGAUGAAGAAAAUACAUGUUUGGAUAUGCUCAAAAGAAAUCCUUUCUCAAAGGAAACGCAUCCUCAAAGAAGUCUGGGGAAUCUGGAAUUAUUUUUAAUGUCUGAAUAUCCAGAGAAGCUAUGAGCUAUAUGUCCUUAUAGCCGCCUCACCAUGUUAACAAAUUACCUGGAUCAGCGUUAGCCAUUGACUAAUGCUAGCAUCAUAGAGGCAUAAUUAUUGGACUAUAUUAGGCUAUACUGUAGAUUGUAUUAGCAGGUCUCGGUUAACAGUUUUGUGCACUGGUGAAGGCUAAACAUGUUACUCUGACCAGUUCUGCAACAUACUGUAACUGGGUGGGUCACUCGAGUCAAGUCUAUAAAAUCUGAAUGGUUUAUAUUAUUAUGAUGAUCUGUGGAUUAGCAGAUCCAUAUUUCCACUAGUGCCCAUGGAGUCAGAUUGUGAUACUUACAGUAUAUCCUGGGAUCAUUAAGGAAUUAAUAAGACAGACAGAGACGUUAGCUGCUGCAGUAACAUGACAGGAGGCAUCAUUUAAUGAUGUAAUGAGUGUGACAAAAACUAUGACAAGCCGAUCUCCUCUUACAGCAAAUGUCAUUCAUAUUUUAGCCAAAUUGCAUUAUUACUGUAUGUCUGCUUGUCGGCUUCAAAAUGAAAUCCCAGGAUUUACGCUCAUCUUUAAAGACAAAAAUCAUUAGAAUUCUAACGACGUCAGACAUUGUCAGGAGAGAGAGGAAGGGGAAAAAUCUAGAGAUAUUUAUUUUUCUUGUGGGCUUUUUUUAAUGAGCUGAAAUCCCCUGAAAUCCCCAUUUCCUCUGCCUUAAUUGAUGAUUAUCAUGUUACACAGUAGAAGCGCUUCACUCUCUCCUCCCAGUCAUUAUGCUAUAGACAGGGAGCUCUUGAAGCUUCAAAGGCAGGAUACAGUGUUUUAAGAUGAAUCCAGCGAUCCUUUGGCCCACAGGUAAACCCCCUGUAAACAGUGCAUGCUAACCGCUAAUUAGCCCUCAGGCCGAAUCAGGCUCGCUCUGUAUGAGCUGACCUCUGUGAUGGUCCUGCUUAGGGCAAUAUUGUAUCUCUACUAACGGCCCUAUUAGACAUUCAGCUGUAGACCCAUAAGGCAACCCCCUCAUGAAUAUUUAAAAAAAACUGACACCGAAAAGCAUGAAAGGGGCCGUGAACUGCAUGUCAUGGAAGGGAUAUAAUGCAAGUAACAACCAAUCAAUAAUCUCUUGAUCUUCUCUGUUUUAGCAUGAUGCAUGAAUGUUUUCUCACCUCUGUAAUGCAGGGAGACUGAGGUUGGGGUAAUGGUGGGGCUAAAGUAAUAAGGAGUGGUGUAGUCUUACUCUGGUGAAUUUACAAAUGAUGUCCCAGGUGGGAAUGAUACUGUAACUGACUCAUACAAGGACUCAGACUAUAAGGUUCAGUUCAGUCUGAAGGACUGGCAGGUCUAUGCUACUGCUAGAGAGUAAUUAGGCUACUGUCCUUCACAAUCUCACGCUACCGUACAGUCGAUCAGACUGAAGGACUGACUGUGUUCUCACUACACUAGUGCUGUGUGGAUCUCAUCCACUAAGGUCAGGAAGAGAUUAAAAUAUUUCUGUACCUCUUUUUAUUUUUCUACUGUAUUAUUGACUGUAUGUUUGUUUUACUCCAUGUGUAACUCUGUGUUGUUGUAUGUGUCGAACUGCUUUGCUUUAUCUUGGCCAGGUCGCAAUUGUAAAUGAGAGCUUGUUCUCGAAUUGCCUACCUGGUUUAAUAAAGGUGAAAUAAAAAAUAAAAAAAUAAAAAAUCUGUAACAACAAAUAAAAUAGUCUUAAUGUGCAGACAAGCCGCAAAAGACGCCAAUAACGGGAUACCAGCUUACAUACUAAACUUAGAUUUUAACACCGCAUUAGUUACAUUAAUUUAUUUAUUCAUGUAACAUAUAGCAUAUGUUUUCAAUAUUGAAGAAAUCAAUUAUGAGGUUCCAUUAACAGUAUAUACUAAAUGUGCGGCAUACAUGUGUGGUGCUAUAUGCUAAUUCAUAUUUUAUGCUUAACCCUUAUCACCUUAAAUACAUUUUUCAUAUCUAAGAAUAAUGUGAAGCAGCAUGCGAUCUCAUAUAGUUAUGCCAAUGAACAUGAGAAUGUGUGUUUUAACUUACGUGCCCUCACCUAUUCUUUACAUUCCUGUGAAAGAUCAACCUCUUGCAGUGAGCUACAAAGCUCCCGGGAAUAAUCCAGAGGAAUUCUGACAUUUUUGUGAAAUAUUAUGCCUUAGGCCAUGUCACUAUAUCACAGGGAGAUUAAUAUAAAAAAUACUAUAUAUAUAUAUUUAUUCAUGUAUAGUAUUUUACAUAUAUAUAUAUAUAAAGCAUGUUGUUUAGUCUUUUCCUUUUUUGAUUGUUUAUUAAACGCAUUCAUAUUUAGAACAGCUAGUAUUAAGUCAGCAUUUUUUCAAAAUGUAAUUUAGGGUAGACCUCUACAUUUGGCUUUAGGGAUUGAGGGAAAACAUUGGUUAUUUGAAUGAAAUAUUUAAACAACAAUAAAAUCAAAAGAAUCAGGUAAGUAGAUUUUGUUUACAAAAAUCAAUCUUUUUUUUUGAAAUCUGAAAGUAUUGCUUAUUGGCCACCUUUAUGUGUUUGUAAAAUAUCAAUGGUUUUAGGUUUUAGAUGUUUUUUUGUGCAAAAUGCUGUACACUGAUAGACCAAGCCUUAGGAACAUUUUCCUAAUCUUGAGUAUCACCUCCUUUUGCCCUCAGAACAGCCUCAAUUUGUCAGGGUAUGGACUCUACAAGGUGUCGAAAGCAUUCCACAGGGAUGCACUAGAGUCAACAUGGGCUCUAGUGCCAUGUUGACUCUAGUGCUUCCCACAGUUGUGUGAAGUUGGCUGGAUGUCCUUCGGGUGGUAGACCAUUCCCGGAAAACUGUUGAGCAUGAAAAACCCAGCAGAGUUGCAGUUCUUCACACAAACCAAGGCGCCUUUUGUCUUGCCCGUUCACCCUCUAAAUGGCACACAUAUCCAAUUCAUGUCUCAAUUGUCUCAAGGCUUAAAAAUCCUUCUUUAACCUGCCUCCUCCCCUUCAUCUACACUGAUUGAAGUCGUUUUAACAAGUGACAUCCACAAGGAAUCAUAGCUUUCACCUGAAUUUACUUGACCAGUCUGUGUCAUGGAGGUGGUUCUUAAUGUUUUGUAUCCCCAAUGUACAUCUAUUGUUUAGCUGGAAUGGAAUGUUCGUAUACUGUUUAUUUGUACUGUGAUCUCACCUACCUAUUUUAAGAUGAAUGCACUUACUGUACGUCGCUCUGGAUAAGAGCAUCUACUAAAUGACUAAAAUGUCAAAUGUAAUUGUUUUACAUAAGGAUCUCAGCUGCAGGUAGCCUCACGGUUAGGAGUGCUGAGCUGAUAACUGAAAGGUCGCUGGUUUGAAUCCCCAAGCUUACUUGGUGAAAAAUGUGUCAAUUUGCCAUUGAGCAAGGCAUGUAACCCUAUUCGCUCUGGAUAAGAGUGUCUGCUAAA